GCGGGUGUAGUUCAAUGGCAGAACGGCAGCUUCCCAAGCUGCAUAUGAGGGUUCGAUUCCCUUCACCCGCUCCA
rnacentral:tRNA from 3 species